UGGGGAAUAUUGGACAAUGGGCGAAAGCCUGAUCCAGCCAUGCCGCGUGUGUGAAGAAGGUCUUCGGAUUGUAAAGCACUUUAAGUUGGGAGGAAGGGCAGUAAGCGAAUACCUUGCUGUUUUGACGUUACCGACAGAAUAAGCACCGGCUAACUCUGUGCCAGCAGCCGCGGUAAUACAGAGGGUGCGAGCGUUAAUCGGAUUUACUGGGCGUAAAGCGUGCGUAGGUGGUUCGUUAAGUUGAAUGUGAAAGCCCCGGGCUCAACCUGGGAACUGCAUCCAAAACUGGCGAGCUAGAGUAGGGCAGAGGGUGGUGGAAUUUCCUGUGUAGCGGUGAAAUGCGUAGAUAUAGGAAGGAACACCAGUGGCGAAGGCGACCACCUGGGCUCAUACUGACACUGAGGUGCGAAAGCGUGGGGAGCAAACAGG
rnacentral:rRNA from 1 species